UCUUUGACUCUCUUUU
rnacentral:sRNA from 1 species